rnacentral:rRNA from 1 species
GUCAACCGAAGUUUAUUUCGGGAUCCGGUUACCUUAAUGGAGGAGGCCAGCCUAACCUACGUGCCAGCAGGCGCCGCUAUACGUAAGGGGGCAAGCGUUGUCCGGAAUUUUAUUAGGGCGUAAAAGAGCGCGGCAGGCGGUCUUUCAAAGUUUCGAGUGACAGGUGGGGGCCUUAACCCCUGCAGGCCUCGGAAAACUGGAGGACUUGAGGACUGGCGAGGGAUGCGGAAUUCCAGGUGGAGCGGUGAAAUGCGUAGAGAUCUGGAAGAACACCAAAGGCGAAGGCAGCAUCCUGGCAAGUCCCUGACGCUGAGGCGCGAAAGCUAGGGGAGCGAACGGGAUUAGAUACCCCGGUAGUCCUAGCCGUAAACGAUGACCACUAGACGUGGGAGGUAUCGACCCCUUCCGUGUCGCCGCUAACGCUUGAAGUGGUCCGCCUGGGGAGUACGGUCGCAAGAUUAAAACUCAAAGGAAUUGACGGGGACCCGCACAAGCAGCGGAGCGUGUGGUUUAAUUCGAUGCAACGCGAACAACCUUACCAAGGCUUGACAUGGACUUGCACCAACCGUAAUGGGUUGUCCGGGAAACCGGCAGGUUCACAGGUGCUGCAUGGCUGUCGUCAGCUCGUGUCGUGAGAUGUUGGGUUAAGUCCCGCAACGAGCGCAACCCCUAUCGUGAGUUACACCUUUCUCGCGAGACUGCCACGCUAAACGUGGAGGAAGGUGGGGAUGACGUCAAGUCAGCACGGCCCUUACGCCUUGGGCGACACACACGCUACAAUGGUCAGCACAAAGAGCAGCCAACCAGCAAUGGGGAGCCAAUCUCAUCAAAGCUGAUCUCAGUUCAGAUUGCAGGCUGCAACCCGCCUGCAUGAAGUCGGAGUUGCUAGUAACCGUAGGUCAGCACACUACGGUGAAUACGUUCCCGGGUCUUGCACUCACCCCCGUC